rnacentral:rRNA from 1 species
GCUUAUGGCCAUAUCAGCCUGGGUAUGCCUGAUCUCGGAAGCUAAGCAGGGUCGGGCCUGGUUAGUACUUGGAUGGGAGACCGCCUGGGAAUACCAGGUGCUGUAAGCA